rfam:Salmo salar isolate Sally breed double haploid chromosome ssa12, whole genome shotgun sequence.
GGGCCAGUGGCGCAAUGGAUAACGUGUCUGACUACGGAUCAGAAAAUUCUAGGUUCGACUCCUGGCUGGCUCA